AAAAGAAGAGUACACUAGCUACGAUAUUUUGGAUUAGAUCAAUACGGCCAAAAGUUCCACUAUAAAAUUAAUGUAAUUAUUUUAGCUAGCCAACCUUUCGUGAAAACGAAUUGACUAUCGUCGACGUUAGCAAGUUUAACCCUUUUAUUAUUUACCAUUUUAAAAAUAUAGUAAGUAGAAAUUAAUUGGUUAAAAAAUCAGUCGCCAACCAGAAGCAAGCACUUGAUAAAUUUUUGUUUUUUUUUUGUUCGUAUCAUAAUCAAGUGAUUAAAAAACAACCGAUGGUUGAAAUUGACCGACGACGGCUAGCUCCCAAGUGUGUGACACUUCUCCGCCAAUUUGUCUUUAUUCCCCUUCGGAAAGCAG
rnacentral:lncRNA from 1 species